rnacentral:rRNA from 1 species
CCUACGGGUGGCAGCAGUGAGGAAUAUUGGUCAAUGGGCGGGAGCCUGAACCAGCCAAGUCGCGUGAGGGAAGACGGUCCUAUGGAUUGUAAACCUCUUUAGGCGGGGAGCAAUGCCGGGCACGUGUGCCCGGAGGGAGAGUACCCGCAGAAUAAGCAUCGGCUAACUCUGUGCCAGCCGCCGCGGUAAUACGGAGGAUGCGAGCGUUAUCCGGAUUUUUUGGGUUUAAAGGGUGCGUGGGCGGAUUUUUAAGUCAGCGGUAAAAUGUCCGGGCUCAACCCGGGCCGGCCGUUGAAACUGGGGAUCUUGAGUGGGCGAGAAGUAUGCGGAAGGCGUGGUGUAGCGGUGAAAUGCAUAGAUAUCACGCAGAACUCCGAUUGCGAAGGCAGCAUACCGGCGCCCGACUGACGCUGAGGCACGAAAGCGUGGGGAUCGAACAGGAUUAGAUACCCCUGUAGUC